rnacentral:tRNA from 1 species
GCCUGGCUGGCUCAGUCAGUAGAGCAUGAGACUCUUGAUUUCAGAGUUGUGAGUUCAAGCCUUGCAUCAGGUG